GGUAAGUAAAGAUGACAUUAGCUGGAAUUUGGACAGUAGUGUGAGGACAAGGUGACAAAAACAAAAUGGUCAGCAAGAAGUGUUUCAGGAUGGAACGUUGGGAUAAGAACCAGAGCAAAAACAAUCACAUUUAGAAGAUAAAACCACAGAAUAAUCUGGAAGCACCACAGUGAAAAAGAGGAAAACAAUAGAAUCAGGAUGAUACAAAUUUGGAGUUCCACUGCUGGAGUUCAACUCUCUAAUCUAGCAACUAUUUCCUGUGUGGACUCAGCCUCUUUUUGCAGGAGCCCAGGCUUUCCUCCUUGUUGACGUUGCCCUUAAAAAAGGAUUUGAGGGACACCUAGGUGGCUCAGUCUAUUGAGCAUCCGACUUCAGCUCAGGUCACGAUCUCGAGGUCCAUGAGUCGGAGCCCGCAUCAGGCUCUAUGCUGACAGCUCAGAGCCUGGAGCCUGCUUUGGAUUCUGAGUCUCCCUCUCUCUCUCUGCCCCUCCCCUGCACACACUCUGUCUGUCUCUCUC